UACUGCAAGUCGAGCGGACCGACGGGAGCUUGCUCCCUUAGGUCAGCGGCGGACGGGUGAGUAACACGUGGGUAACCUGCCUGUAAGACUGGGAUAACUCCGGGAAACCGGGGCUAAUACCGGAUGCUUGAUUGAACCGCAUGGUUCAAUCAUAAAAGGUGGCUUUUAGCUACCACUUGCAGAUGGACCCGCGGCGCAAUAGCUAGUUGGUGAGGUAACGGCUCACCAAGGCGACGAUGCGUAGCCGACCUGAGAGGGUGAUCGGCCACACUGGGACUGAGACACGGCCCAGACUCCUACGGGAGGCAGCAGUAGGGAAUCUUCCGCAAUGGACGAAAGUCUGACGGAGCAACGCCGCGUGAGUGAUGAAGGUUUUCGGAUCGUAAAACUCUGUUGUUAGGGAAGAACAAGUACCGUUCGAAUAGGGCGGUACCUUGACGGUACCUAACCAGAAAGCCACGGCUAACUACGUGCCAGCAGCCGCGGUAAUACGUAGGUGGCAAGCGUUGUCCGGAAUUAUUGGGCGUAAAGCGCGCGCAGGCGGUUUCUUAAGUCUGAUGUGAAAGCCCCCGGCUCAACCGGGGAGGGUCAUUGGAAACUGGGGAACUUGAGUGCAGAAAAAGA
rnacentral:rRNA from 1 species